ACAGAGAUUUGUCUGCCUCUGCCUCCGAGGGUUAAGGUCUGGCCCUAUGCUAAUGGCUUUCUAUGCUUCAAGCCUCUUGAUUCUGACACGUCUUUGGAGGUCUCGCUAGGUUCCUGUUGAAAGUGAGGAAGUCUGGGAGCAGAGGAAGUCCGGCAGUUUGCCCGAGAGCCCGCACAGCUGGGAAGGGGCUCACGUGUCCCGGAUCAGGAUUAUUGCUCCUAAUGGAAGGCUUAAGGAUAUGACGCCCUGGUGCCUAGACAAUGGGAUCUUUUUCCUCAGCCCAGGCCUGGAGUGUGAGCAGCUCCGCAGAGGAAGGAGAAGGGGUGGCUGUGUUAGUCUCUGUUUCUUCCCCUUUCUGUUCACAUCUCUCUGGUCUUAGCAGUGUAGACAGCCCUGGCACCAUUUUGCAAUAGUGUCCUGAGGGACCUGGGAGGUGAGACCAUUCAGGCUAUAUGAAAAGCACUCCUGAGGAUUUGACUUUGUUGGUUAAAGAAUUUUCUCUGACACUUCAAAUAUUAACUUAUUUGAAUUAGCAUCUCCCAUUUGUUUAAGGUAUCUUUAUGAGAUCAGUUAUAGGCAAUGGGAUUAAUCCAAUGAAAAUAAAGAGAAAGUUUUAGCUAGAGAGCAUUAAAAAACUUUUGACCAACUCAAUUUUUUUUCUAAUUCUAAAUUUGACAUAUUUUGGAAAAAUGAUAAAAUGAAUUUCCU